GAUGAACGCUGGCGGCGUGCCUAAUACAUGCAAGUCGAGCGAAUGGAUUAAGAGCUUGCUCUUAUGAAGUUAGCGGCGGACGGGUGAGUAACACGUGGGUAACCUGCCCAUAAGACUGGGAUAACUCCGGGAAACCGGGGCUAAUACCGGAUAACAUUUUGAACCGCAUGGUUCGAAAUUGAAAGGCGGCUUCGGCUGUCACUUAUGGAUGGACCCGCGUCGCAUUAGCUAGUUGGUGAGGUAACGGCUCACCAAGACAACGAUGCGUAGCCGACCUGAGAGGGUGAUCCGCCACACUGGGGCUGAGACGCGGCCCAGACUCCUACGGGAGGCAGCAGUAGGGAAUCUUCCGCAAUGGACGAAAGUCUGACGGAGCAACGCCGCGUGAGUGAUGAAGGCUUUCGGGUCGUAAAACUCUGUUGUUAGGGAAGAACAAGUGCUAGUUGAAUAAGCUGGCACCUUGACGGUACCUAACCAGAAAGCCACGGCUAACUACGUGCCAGCCGCCGCAGUAA
rnacentral:rRNA from 1 species